rnacentral:rRNA from 1 species
AUGAAUCUGUUAGCCUGGAACUGUCGAGGAUUGGGGUUGGACUCGACAGUAGGCGAACUUAGAGACCUGAUACGGUCCUACAACCCAGCGGUGGUUUUUCUAUCUGAAACAAAGAAAAAGGCGAGAGCAAUGGAGAGAUUGAAGUGGAGCUUGGGAUUUACGUGUGGUGUGGCAGUGGACUGCCUCGGGAGGAGUGGAGGGCUAGCUUUGUGGUGGAGAGAUCAUUUG